rnacentral:rRNA from 1 species
CGGGUGUAAAGCACUUUCAGUAGGGAGGAAGGUAGUGUAGUUAACACCUGCAUUAUUUGACGUUACCUACAGAAGAAGACACCGGCUAACUCCGUGCCAGCAGCCGCGGUAAUACGGAGGGUGCGAGCGUUAAUCGGAAUUACUGGGCGUAAAGACGCAUGCAGGCGGCCUGUUAAGUCAGAUGUGAAAGACCCGGGGCGUUAACCUCGGAAAUUGCAUUUGAAACUAGGCAGGCUAGAGUCUUGUAGAGGGGGGUAGGAAGUUUCAGGUGUAGCGGUGAAAUAGCGUAGAGAUCUGAAGGAAUACCAGUGGCGAAGGCGGCCCCCUCGGACAAAGACUGACGCUCAGAUGCGAAAGCGUGGGGAGCAAACAGGAUUAGAUACCCUGGUAG